rnacentral:rRNA from 1 species
UCGAACCCUGCAAAGCAGAACGACCCGUGAACACGUAAAAACAACCGAGCGUCGAGUGGAUUAAGCACUUGUUUGAUCCUCUCGAUGCUUUGUCGAUGCGCAUUUACUUGUGUUCUUUUGGACCCGGUGAAUGCGUCAUUGGCGCAAUAACAACCCCCGGCACAAUGUGUGCCAAGGAAAACUAAACUUAAGAAGGCUUGUCUCGUGUUGCCCCGUUUGCGGUGUGCUCAUGGGAUGUGGCUUCUUUAUAAAUCGCGUNGCCCCUAACAAAUCUUAUGUUGGGGGCGGAUAUUGGUCUCCCGUGCUCACGGUGUGGUUGGCCAAAAUAAGGAGUCCCUUCGAUGGACGCACGAACUAGUGGUGGUCGUAAAAACCCUCGUUCUUUGUUCUGUGCUGUUUGUCGCAAGGGAAAACUCUUCAAAUACCCUAACGUGUUGUCUUUGGAUGACGCUUCGACCG